UAGCUAAUCCUGGUCGGACAUCAGGAGGUUAGUGCAAUGGCAUAAGCUAGCUUGACUGCGAGCGUGACGGCGCGAGCAGGUGCGAAAGCAGGUCAUAGUGAUCCGGUGGUUCUGAAUGGAAGGGCCAUCGCUCAACGGAUAAAAGGUACUCCGGGGAUAACAGGCUGAUACCGCCCAAGAGUUCAUAUCGACGGCGGUGUUUGGCACCUCGAUGUCGGCUCAUCACAUCCUGGGGCUGAAGUAGGUCCCAAGGGUAUGGCUGUUCGCCAUUUAAAGUGGUACGCGAGCUGGGUUUAGAACGUCGUGAGACAGUUCGGUCCCUAUCUGCCGUGGGCGCUGGAGAAUUGAGGGGGGCUGCUCCUAGUACGAGAGGACCGGAGUGGACGCAUCACUGGUGUU
rnacentral:rRNA from 2 species